UUCUGUUAGUUUACACCACUCCGCUCUCAUUACCUCCAUCCACUACAAACACCCUGACUCACACUCUUACCUUAACUUCUCCUUCUCCCACCCUACCCAUACCAAGCUCUCCAUCACCUAUUCCCGA